rnacentral:rRNA from 1 species
AUUGAACGCUGGCGGCAGGCCUAACACAUGCAAGUCGAGCGAGCGGCGGACGGGUGAGUAAUGUAUGGGGACUGCCGAUAGAGGGGGAUAACUACUGGAAACGGUGGCUAAUACCGCAUACUAUCGGCUAUCCCAUAUGGGAUUAGCUAGUAGGUGGGGUAAAGGCUCACCUAGGCGACGAUCUCUAGUGGGUCUGAGAGGAUGAUCAGCACCACUGGGACUGAGACACGGCCCAGACUCCUACGGAGGAAGCGGGGGGGAAUUUUGCACAAUGGGCGCAACCCUGAUGCAGCCAUGCGGGGUGUAUGAAGAAGGCCUUAGGGUUGUAAGGUACUUUCAGCGGGGAGGCGUUACCCGCAGAAGAAGCACCGGCUAACUCCGUGCCAGCAGCCGCGUAAUUC